AGUCUGAGAUGACUGUAGUGUUUGUGUAAGUACAUAAAAAAUAAAACUUAACGGCUAGUAAUAGACUAGUUGAUGGCGGAGAACCUUUCUAAAUAAGUGAAUAACUUACAAGAGUAAUUCUCUGUAAAGUGCCACAGAGACGAGCUCUGUAGAAAUAUAGAGUGUGAAACGAGGCAAACCCCUCAAGCA
rnacentral:RNase_P_RNA from 1 species